UACGUAGGGGGCAAGCGUUGUCCGGAAUCAUUGGGCGUAAAGAGCGUGUAGGCGGCUCGGUAAGUCCGCUGUGAAAGUCCAGGGCUCAACCCUGGAAUGCCGGUGGAAACUGUCGAGCUAGAGUCCGGAAGAGGCGAGUGGAAUUCCUGGUGUAGCGGUGAAAUGCGCAGAUAUCAAGGAGGAACACCAAUGGCGAAGGCAGCUCGCUGGGACGUAACUGACGCUGAGACGCGAAAGCGUGGGGAGCAAACAGG
rnacentral:rRNA from 1 species